rnacentral:snRNA from 1 species
CUACUCAAUUUGGCAGUAUAUAUACUAAAAUUGGCAUGAUACAGAGAAGAUUAGCAUGGCCCCUGCUCAAGGAUGAUAUGCAAAU